rnacentral:rRNA from 1 species
GAAGGUCACGGCGAGACGAGCCGUUUAUCAUUAUGAUAGGUGUCAAGUAGAAGUGCAGUAAUGUAUGUAGCUGAGGCAUCCUAAUAGACCGGUAGACUUGAAC